AGAAUCUAUGAUUCCUGAAGUUUAGGGUUUUAGGAUCCACAGAAGAAGGUGCCUGGCUUCAUCUUCAGAAGGUUUGCUUCCUGGAAUAAUGGCUUCAUUUGAUCCUCAUUACAACUCUGAUAGAUUCACAACACAUGGAGAAACAUCAGACAGAGGAUUCAAAUAUCAGUAAUAGGGUGUUGAAAAUUUUGAAAAAUGAAAGAGAAUUUUGAAGAAGGACUCAGAAUUCCAGAAUAUUACCUACCUCAUCUCAUUUUACAAAGGAGGAAAUGGAGACAAGCAGGUUUAAAUGCCUUGCCUAGGAUCACACAGCAAUGUGUCUGAAGCCAGAUUUGAACCCAUGAAGAUGAGCAUUCCUGACUCCAGCUGGGAGCCAGUGGGAAGAAGCAGAUCUCCUAGGCUGGGAAGAAGCUGUCUUUCUCUGGAGAUCAGCUAUCUGUUCCUGAACCCCUGGAUACCUCUCAACCAACUCCAAAUAACUAUAAUCAAAAGCCAUCAGUGAAUAUUGUGGACUGGGACUUUGAAAAAAGCCAUCCAGAGAAAUCCUUUUCAAGGAUCUCCCUCUCUUUCUCUCUCCCUUUUUGUUCCUGGACUCUUGUACUCAAAGAGAGUCAGCUUAGGAGUAGGAAUCAACUGGCAGUGGACAGGAAAAGGAUCAAGGCUGGGAAAUCCUUGAACCCCUAAACUUUGGAGGGCUAAUUUGCCAGAGAGGACAAGUGUAGGCCCCCAUUUUCCCUACUUGAUACCCCUUACCACUCCUUCACAGUUUGAACUCAAUAAAUGUAUCUGUUACUUUAGAUCUAGGUCUGGG
rnacentral:lncRNA from 1 species